rnacentral:rRNA from 1 species
AUUGAACGCUGGCGGCAGGCAUAACACAUGCAAGUCGAGCGAGCGGCGGACGGGUGAGUAAUGUCUGGGAAACUGCCUGAGGGAGGGGGAUAACUACUGGAAACGGUAGCUAAUACCGCAUACCAUCAGAUGUGCCCAGAUGGGAUUAGCUAGUGGGUGGGGUAACGGCUCACCUAGGCGACGAUCCCUAGCUGGUCUGAGAGGAUGGCCAGCCACGCUGGAACUUAGACACGGUCCAGACUCCUACGGGAGGCAGCAGUGGGGAAGAUUGCACAAUGGGCGCAAGCCUGAUGCAGCCAUGCCGCGUGUGUGAAGAAGGCCUUCGGUUUGUAAAGCACUUUCAGCUGGGAGGCGUUACCCGCAGAAGAAGCACCGGCUAACUCCGUGCCAGCAGCCGCGGUAAUAC